UGCUGUGUUUGCCUCUGUAUCUUUCUAGGCUUCAGCUUUGGCUUUUCUUUUCCGGCAGUGUUUGAGCAGAAGGGCAGUUUGGACUUAUUCGUUCUCUGAGGCGACAACAACAGGUCUCUCUCUCCAUCUGACUGGGCAGGUCUCAGUGACCGAGGAUUGUGAUCAGAAAUGGAGGUGAAAAAUCACUGCGAGGAAAAUCAGCUGAAGAAUGGAGUGCAGAACGGGGUUCCGAAGGAAACACCUCCAGCGAAACCUGCAAAUCACACCAAAUGGAACCAGAUCUGUAAGAGUGCUCAGUGUUUAUUUCAACAGGUCAAACAUGUUUAUAGUGCAAUUUAAUCAGUGCUGCU
ensembl:lncRNA